GUGUGAUUGAAAAACUAAGCACCAAAGUUGAAGGAUGCUUGCUUGAAUGUCUUCACCGAGAUAGGGCUAGUGCAAGCUACAAUAAUCAUACAACAGAUUUAAGGUUUUCUGUUGUGUGAACAUGCAAAUGACGGUAACAUUUUAACCAAAAAUGUUGAAGGCGCCAAGUUUCCCUCCAUGAUUUUACAUUUUAUACAUUCAGACGACAGUCAUAUAUAUUUCUGUUGUGUGAAUAACUUAAGAAAAUUUCUAGCUAGGUUUUGAUUCCCAUAUCGUGUCUAAAAGAAAGAAAGAACCAAAAAAAGCAUGCGGCCGCUCUCUCGACACUUAGCCCUCUCUCGACUGCACAUCGACACUUCGCUCACUCUCUCUCUCUCUCGACACUUCGCUCUCUCUCUCGACUGCAUAUCCCUUACACUUAGCUCAAGAAUCGAGCCCCCAAGAUUCGAGAGGCACCACACGAGGCCACAAGUCUCUCGUGGUUGUUCCAUGGCAAGUUCAUCUUUCAGACCCGGUUUCUGAAUCCCAUUUGGGGUACUUUCGAUUUGGUGCAGUGCAAGCAAGAUGUGAACUUGACUGUCAGUAUGGUCAGAGAGCUAAUGGGCGAGCAGCUUUUGAACGGUGAUAAGGCUCUCUGUGUCGGUGAAGGAUCGGCCUCGGCCGUGAUGGUGUUGCAAGAUUUGGGGUUUCCCAAUGCUCGUGGUGUUUAUGAACACCGAUUCUUCACCGAUUAAGGUUUUGGUCCCAAAUUUGGGUUGCCCACUGCUGAUGCUCUAAAACUGUUCUUUAGCCGCAUACUAGAUUUUAUUUCGGAUAUGGUUCUAAUCCAGAAAUGGAGAAGAAGAAGAGUAGAGUACUGAUAAUCAGAGCAACAGGAAAUCUGGGUCACCAUUUAGCCAAUGCCAGCCUCCAUUUCUCUCACCCCACUUUCGCUCUCGUCCGACCCGACACCUUCUCCGACCCCCACAAGUCCCAAAACCUUCGAGCCCUCUCCGAUGCCGGCGUCACACUCCUCCAAGGUUCGCUGGAAGACGAAGAGAACCUUGUUGGAGCAGUGAAGCAAGUUGAUGUUGUGAUUUGUGCUGUUCAGGUCAAACAGGUGCUCCAUCAGAAUCCAAGUUAUCAAAAAUGCUGGUUCCAUCAAGAUUUACAAACUCAGUUAAGGAGUGGUGACCAACAGAAGGCAUCUUAUUAAAAACUGAUAUGCAAGUCUUAUCACUCAUUCAAGACUCAGAUUUGGAGUUCCAAAAGCUUAAGUGAUCUUUUUGAGCAAAUGAGGCAGAUUAGGUUAGGGAUUUGGGGAAACCUAAUUGGGUUGUACAAGUUUGCUGCCAUAUUACUGAUUCUAUCAGUUUGUGUGUAAGGUUGAACAAGUCACGGCCACGAAACUAAUCAAGGGAGAAAACAGGGCAAAUACUUCAUUUUGGGGUUGGGUUAUAUGUUUCCCUUCCUUUUGUGAUAUGAAACCAGGAUUCAUUCGAAUCUCCUGAAGAAGGAAGACUUCCAGAUGUCAAAAAAGUGGUUAGGGAAGAGAGGGGCCCGUAUAGUGAUCCUCAACAUCCCUAUUUCUAUGAAGAUGAAGAUGUUUGGAUGGCACCAGGCUUCAUAAACCAAUUCUAUGAAGUCCCUGAUUACUGGAAAACAUAUGUGCAUGAGGUUGAUGAGGAAAGGGAAAUGUGGUUGAACUCCUUCUAUAAAGCUCCACUGAGAAUACCUAUGCCUUCUGAGCUUGAGUACUGGUGGUCAAAGGGUAUUAAUUUCUGUGAGCUACAAUGGAAAAGUUUUAAGUUUUUUCUUAUUUUUGUUUGCAGGAAGCAAAAUUCAUAAGACAUAUAAAGCUGGCUUUUGGGAAUCGAUUAAAUCUGGUUUUCAGUCAGCAUGUCUUUGCAUGAUACAAGCUUUUGCUUUAUUUGCACUCAUUUAACCUCAAGAGAGAAGGAUUGGAGGGUGAUGAGCUAAGAAGGAAUUCUGAUGUCAUGGAGAUCCUAAAGAAGACAAGUUUCCAAAGGUUAUUGGCUCUAGCGCGUUGAAAAACCCAGAAACAACCCUGGAGCAUGAACUAUUGAUUAAAGACUGAUUACAACUUAAGCAUAUGAACGCAUGGACAAGGUUGCACCGAUGUAAUGGUACCCAUGAUCACAGGAAUAUAGCAUUUCCGGCUUAUAAAGCUUUUCAGGCUAUCGCGGUUGCUUUACAUAAUAGUUAUUUUUCCAUUUCCCGCCUGUUGAUAACAUGCCUGUGUAUAUUAAUCAAUUAGCGUCUUACAAUGUCAAUCAAGUCAUCAACAAUGUCACCUCAGUUUAUUAAAACUAUUCUUCAAUUCAUUUUGAUUCAUGUGUAGCUAGCUAGGAAUGCUUUAUUGUUUGGUACAUUACCUAGUCACUUGAAUGUAUGGAUGUUUGAAAAAUGGUAAUGGAAUGAUAUGGAUUUGAGUA